CGAAGAAGUAAAGACAAAGAAAUGAAGAAAAAAAAUUUGCGGAGAGUUAAUAAAGAAGUAGCAGAGGAAUGAGACGUGGAAAUGGAUUGAAUGAAAUAAGGAGAAAUUCGAUGGGAUAUUUACUCAAUGGACAAGUUGAAGAAUGGAUGCCGAAUAUUGUAGCAGGUUUAUAUAUUUAGCAGUAAUCUGGAAAUGGAUGCGUGAAAUAAUGACGGUGAAAUUAUAUGCAUGAUGGCCGGACGAGAGUGUUGUUUAUUUAGAAAGUUUUCGCUUUGGCAAAUUGAUUGGUAAAGUGCCACACAGACGCUUAUAAAUAAACAAGCCGUGAUUGCAUUCAGUGGAUAAUUGUGGUGGAUGUGGUAUAAUGAACAAGAGACAAAUCAAAGUGGAAGAAUGUUUGUUUUAUGUCGGGUCAAAUUAUUAAUGGUAUUCGUAUAUUUGUUACAACAGAGAUAUAAUAAAAACGAUGUAAAGUAGUGUUAUAUACAAAUAAGAAAUAUGUGUUGAUGUAAAUAUUAAUUUGUUAAUAAAGACUACUAUAUCACAA
rnacentral:sRNA from 1 species